rnacentral:misc_RNA from 1 species
UAUCAUUUAGAAGAAGGAGAAGUCGUAACAAAGUUUUCGUAGGUGAACCGACGGAAUGAUCAUUGUCGAACCUGCACAACAGAAUGACCCGAGAACCAGUUUCAACGUCGGGGGUCGAUGGGCCUUCAGGCUCGACGUCCCCUUGUCCUGGGAGCCUGCUCCCGAGCGUACAAACGAACACCAGCGUGUAUUGCGCCAAGGAACCUGAACGAAAGAGCGCGCUCCCUUCGCCCCGGAAACGGUGUGCGCGCGGGUGUGUCGUCGUCUUCGAUAUGUCAAAAUAACUCUCCGCAACGGAUAUCUCGACUCUCGCAUCGAUGAAGAACGUAGCGGAAUGCGAUACUUGGUGUGAAUUGUAGAAUCUCAUGAACCAUCGAGUCUUUGAACGUAAGUUUCACCCGAAGCCGUCAGGCCGAUGGCACACCUGCCUGGGCGUCACACACUGUUGCCCCCUCCGUACCUUCCUCGGGAGUGUCGGGACGGGCGGUCCAUGGCCUCCCGUGCGUCACCCGGAUCGAUUGCCACAAAUACCGAGUCCUCGGCGACUAACGCCACGGCAAUCGAUGGUUGUCAAACCUCGGUUG